rnacentral:rRNA from 1 species
CCUACGGGUGACUGCAGUGGGGAAUAUUGCACAAUGGGGGAAACCCUGAUGCAGCGACGCCGCGUGAGCGAUGAAGUAUUUCGGUAUGUACAGCUCUAUCAGCAGGGAAGAAAAUAACGGUACCUGACUAAGACGCCCCGGCUAACUACGUGCCAGCAGCCGCGGUCAUACGUAGGAUCCGAGCAUUAUCCGGAGUGGAUGGGUGUAAAGAGUUGCGUAGGUGGCAUAAUAAGUUGCUAGUGAAAUCUGGUGGCUCAACCAUUCAGACUAUUAGCUAAACUGUUAAGCUCGAGACCGUUAGUGGUAACUGGAAUUUCUAGUGUAGGAGUGAAAUCCGUAGAGAUUAGAAGGAACACCAAUAGCGUAGGCAGGUUGCUGGGACGUUUCUGACACUAAGGCACGAAAGCGUAGGGAGCAAACGGGAUUAGAUACCCGGGUAGUC